GGGGCGGCUUAUCAUGCGUGCACCGUGAUAGGAACCCCGAGUGCCAGCACAGGCUGGCUGUCCGCCAGUGUAAAUAACUGGUGAAGAAAGGGCCGGGCAAGACCGGUGCCAGCCGCCGCGGUAAUACCGGCGGCUCGAGUGGUGGCCGCUAUUACUGGGCUUAAAGGGUCCGUAGCUUGAUAAUCAAGUCCCUUGAGAAAUCCGCCGGCUUAACUGGCGGGCGUUCAGGGGAAACUGGUUUUCUAGGGACCGGGAGAGGUGAGAGGUACUGCCGGGGUAGGAGUGAAAUCCUGUAAUCC
rnacentral:rRNA from 1 species